CAGCGGAGGGAUCAUUAC
rnacentral:rRNA from 1 species